UACGAAGGGGGCUAGCGUUGCUCGGAAUCACUGGGCGUAAAGCGCACGUAGGCGGCUUCUUAAGUCAGGGGUGAAAUCCUGGAGCUCAACUCCAGAACUGCCUUUGAUACUGAGGAGCUUGAGUCCGGGAGAGGUGAGUGGAACUGCGAGUGUAGAGGUGAAAUUCGUAGAUAUUCGCAAGAACACCAGUGGCGAAGGCGGCUCACUGGCCCGGUACUGACGCUGAGGUGCGAAAGCAUGGGGAGCAAACAGG
rnacentral:rRNA from 1 species